CGGAUGUAUCGGGGGUUUAAAAACGACAGCCUGGCCUAACAGAAACAACGGUCGUCUGCGAAACUUGUGCUGUCUUCUGCAAGUACGCUGUCGCUGACACAGUGAAGAGCAUCAACCAAUCAUGAAGGUCCUUCUCCUGUUACUCGUCGUCAUUGGAUUGGCAGCAGCUGAUGCCUGGCGUGAGUGGGGACGUAGAAGUGCUGAUCCCGGUCGCUGCUUUCUAUGCUGAGAGAAGAGGCCACAAAGGGUGACGAGCGACAAUAAAAGUACCUGGUAACCAAGCUCGAAAUGACGGUUUGCUCUUUUUCUUCGUGUCAACCGACCACACAAAUAAACGGCACAUGGAGAGAUUACUAAA